UACGAAGGGGGCUAGCGUUGCUCGGAAUUACUGGGCGUAAAGCGCACGUAGGCGGCUUCUUAAGUCGGUGGUGAAAUCCUGGAGCUCAACUCCAGAACUGCCUUCGAUACUGGGAAGCUCGAGUCCGGGAGAGGUGAGUGGAACUGCGAGUGUAGAGGUGAAAUUCGUAGAUAUUCGGAAGAACACCAGUGGCGAAGGCGGCUCACUGGCCCGGUUCUGACGCUGAGGUGCGAAAGCGUGGGGGAGCAAACAGG
rnacentral:rRNA from 1 species